UACGGAAGGCAGCAGUGGGGAAUAUUGCACAAUGGGCGAAAGCCUGAUGCAGCUAUGCCGCGUGUAUGAAGAAGGCCUUAGGGUUGUAAAGUACUUUCAUCGGGGAGGAAAAAACAAAACUAAUAAUUUUAUUUCUUGACGUUACCCGAAAAAGAAGCACCGGCUAACUCCGUGCCAGCAGCCGCGGUAAUACGGAGGGUGCUAGCGUUAAUCAGAAUUACUGGGCGUAAAGAGCACGUAGGUGGUUUUUUAAGUCAGAUGUGAAAUCCCUGGGCUUAACCUGGAACUGCAUUUUGAAACUGAAAUACUAGAGUAUCGUAGAGGGAGGUAGAAUUCUAGGUGUAGCGGUGAAAUGCGUAGAUAUCUGGAGGAAUACCUGUGGCGAAAGCGGCCUCCUAAACGAAUACUGACACUGAGGUGCGAAAAGCGUGGGGAGCGAAAACAGGGAUUAGGAUACC
rnacentral:rRNA from 1 species